ensembl:lncRNA
GGGAGCUUCACAUUCUCUGCUCCCGCCCACCACAUCCGCCCGCCCUCCGCGGUCACGCCUCGGACGGCGAGCACCUGCCAAGCAGUUAAAGAAGUUUUCUCUCUAGUCUUACUGAACCAUGGCACUACCUCCCAACACCAGCAAUCACAUCUCCUUGAAGCCUGAAGAGAUGGCAGCACAGAUGAAAAAAUGCCAGAAAAGCUUGGAGCCAACUGACAUCCAGAGCAACAAGCAGCUAUCAACUGCCUACCCUCAGCUCACCCUUCUUUUGUUUUUUUAAAGUGAAAUCUAAGGUAUGAUGAUUACACUUAAUCUUUUUAAAUAAUC